UCCGUAGGUGAACCUGCGGAGGGAUCAUUACAGAGUUGCAAAACUCCCAACCCUUUGUGAAUCCACUGGACAAUUGCCUCGGUAGGGGCCCUUCAGGGGGCUGCCCGCCGGAGGACCACUAAACUCUGUAUUUUUGGCCUCUCUGAGUAAUUCUAUAAUGAAUCAAAACUUUCAACAACGGAUCUCUUGGUUCUGGCAUCGAUGAAGAACGCAGCGAAAUGCGAUACGUAAUGUGAAUUGCAGAAUUCAGUGAAUCAUCGAAUCUUUGAACGCACAUUGCGCCCGCCAGCACUCUGGCGGGCAUGCCUGUUCGAGCGUCAUUUCAACCAUCAAGCCCUAGGCUUGCGUUGGAGAGCUGCGGCUGCCGCAGCCUCCUAAAAGCAGUGGCGGGCUCGCUAUCACACCGAGUGCAGUAGAUUUCUCUUCGCUCAGGGCGUGUAGUGGGUUCCGGCCGUGAAACCCCUAAUUUCUCAAGGUUGACCUCGGAUCAGGUAGGAAUACCCGCUGAACUUAAGCAUAUCAAUAAGCGGAGG
rnacentral:rRNA from 1 species